rnacentral:misc_RNA from 1 species
UCCGGUUUGUCACCGGCAGUCUCCUUAGAGUUCCCACCAUAAUGUGCUGGCAACUAAGGACAAGGGUUGCGCUCGUUACGGGACUUAACCCAACAUCUCACGACACGAGCUGACGACAGCCAUGCAGCACCUGUCUCCCGGUUCCCGAAGGCACCCCCGCAUCUCUGCGGGGUUCCGGGGAUGUCAAGGCCAGGUAAGGUUCUUCGCGUUGCAUCGAAUUAAACCACAUGCUCCACCGCUUGUGCGGGCCCCCGUCAAUUCAUUUGAGUUUUAGCCUUGCGGCCGUACUCCCCAGGCGGUCGACUUAUCGCGUUAACUGCGCCACUAAGCCCUUUUAUGGACCCAACGGCUAGUCGACAUCGUUUAGGGCGUGGACUAC